CUUCACAUAACUGCCAGCUGGACCUGUGUUGAGACUAUCUCAACACAGGUCCAGCUGGCAGUUAUGUGAAUA
rnacentral:pre_miRNA from 1 species